UUCAGGACUGGGGGAAAAAAGGCAUCCUAAAAGAGAUGAGAUUGGAUGGAAUGGUCAGAUGUGGAGAAAACGUAAAACUAUGACACAUCUGACCUUCAUUCAGCUGAGUCAUAAAUACCAUGUGCAGGACAUCAUACUGGAGGAUAAGUGUGGAUCGCAGAUGUCUGUAAAGCAGGUCCCCACCUCCUGGACUCUAGAAUCUGGAGGAAAAAUAAUGAUUAAAAUGCACAGAGAACAAUACAGAUUUUCAUUACUGAAAUAUUCAAACGGCAGCUGACAUAUUCAAUUCAUCAAAGAAAAUAUAUGUUGGAUAUGACACAGUAUUAUUGAUACUGCCAGAAGCCCAGGGAGAACUGAGGACAGAGCCCCUUGUAGCUUGAACUGCUGGAUUAGAAGGAAAUUUCUAAAUGCAAUUUGCUAAUGGAGACAACACACUGCUGAGGAAAUCGAGGGAAAUUCAUAGUGUGUGGUCGCUGAUACAACUAACUUGAAAUAAAGCACUUUCGGAGUACAAAAUAACGAAAAGGUGAUAAAGCUCAAAUCUGUAAGAGAAUAGUUAAAUACAAGUUGUGGUUUAGGGGCCAUGUAGAUUUCAGUGUUUUGGGGAUAGAUAAUAAAAAUAUAUAAAGGAGCAAUGCAACCCCUGGCAUUAUAAAAAGCAAUCAAAUUGUUGAGAUCGUUAAAUAAAAGGCUUUUUCUUUUCAUUUUGUAGAAAUGCUAAUUGAAUAUACAAAUGAAAUUA